ensembl:snRNA U6 U6 spliceosomal RNA
ACGUGCUCCCUUAGGCCAUGCAUAUACUAAAGUGGAAUGAUACAGAAAAGAUUAGCAUUGUCUCCAAACAAGAAUGACACAUAAAUCCAUGAAGCAUUCCAUAUUUUU